CCAGUUUCUCAAGAAUAUUCUGGGGUCGUUGCUGCAUUGAUACAGUCACUUCAGAAUGAAGGGUCUUUACUGUUAGCUGAGCAAGUCUGCAGAAGAUGUGAAGUUUGUCAUCCAAGAAACAGAACCUCCACCUGCAGUGACCUUUAUGUCAGAGUACAGAUCAAAGCCUGUGCCCUAAGUCCUCUGGAUUUACAGUGGGACCAAAGGUAACCUUUCAACCGGACGAAGUGGUAGUUGGAAUCUUAUCUCUGGAUGCUGAAGUUUCUGGUCUGUGUGAUGUGGUUUUGGUCCACGAGCAUCAUUUAGGUAAGGUGUGUGUUUGAGUGAUGACUGGGACAUUGGGUCAACAGGAAUAUAGUAAGUCAAGAAAAUAGCAGGAAUUUUUUUUCUUGUAGAUCAAAGUCUAAGGGGAAAUCAGUAAAAUAGGGACCCUACUGUGCUGAUUGUAUUCGUCUGUCUGUCUUCACUAAACAUUUAUCAUAAACUGCUUUAUUUUGUCAGCCCUAAGUACCUUAACUUAAAAUACACUGAGUCAGUGCACCAGGAAAAUCAAACUGUAACUGAGCAUUGGAGUUUUGCAUAUUCUGGCUGAAAGCACUCUCCUUUUGCGUGGAUUAGUUAAUGGCUUUGUGGUUCCAAUUCGAUGGCCAUGAAACAUUUAAACAUUGCAUUAACUUGCAUUAACUAACAGUUUGUUUUAUAGUAUUGGUAUAUAAUUCAUUGAAAAGUUACUGCUGCAUAACCAUAAUCAGAAUGGAAUGACAACACAAAUCGUUUUCCUCAUUGUUUCCAGCUAUUUGGUACAAUAAGUAUAGAGCUGAUGUUAUGCGAAACAGAAAAAAUAUGUAUUGAAAAGAUAAAAAUUAUAUAAUUGACAUAAGGAAGUACACGAGGAAGCAACGGAAGUAUUCACUGGGACACAGUGUAAAAUGGCUUCAGGAAGAGGGAUGGUGGCAAAAGAGGACAGAGGGAGGAUGCUGCUCUGCAGUAAAAGGAAGUUCGAUGACAGCUGAAGAUAAUAAACAUAUAACCUGCAAUAAAAUUGCACAAAUAGGCUGUUCAAACAGACUUUUUAAGGUAGCCUUUCGUCACCAGUGUAAACAGCUAAGGGUUGUAUUACAAAAAAAAAGAACAAUCAUAAAGCAUGUGGUGUGUUUUAGCGAUUUGAUUGUUGCUUUCUCCUACUGCAGGAUCUCAUAAAAUAAUUUGUACCUUCGGUUUUUAAAUAUCAAAAUUACAACUUUUUGCCGUUGCAAAUAAACUAGAAAAAUGCCAGUUAUUACACUUUUCAGUGGACAUUUCUGCAUGCAGGGGAUCAGCAUUUUCUGUGCAGCACAGGCACUUUAUCUGUACUCUGCUUAUUGAUUUUCUUUUUUUCGGUUUUGUCACUGCGACUC